UAAUUAUAGCAUAUUAAUAGCUUGGUUAAUUAUGGUGAUCAUUUGGCUUUGUAUCAAUACAUUGGGUUUUGGCAAGUUGAUAUUAUUGUAUGAUAAACCUUAAAGAUCUCUUUUAUGUAAUCUGAGGUGCAUAUAAAAUCGGGGAUGGGGAGUUGGAGUCAGGAGUUGAAGAGUCAAAUCUUUUUAUGAGAGUCAAAGUUGAUUUUAAAAAAUACCGAGUCAGAGUCGUAUAUUUUUCUGCUGACUCCCCAUCCCUGUAUAAAAUUCCCUCUUAUAUUGUGCAAAAGAGGAAGGUUAUUAAUUUAUCUAAAUUAAUACAUUUUAUUACAUCUUAAAUUAUUUUUCUCAUCCACAUUUAUUAGGAGAAUGCAAGAUGGUGUAGUUAAGAACUUUUAUUUUUAUGUAAUUAAUUCUUUAAACCUGGAAAAUCUUUAUCUGGCAUUGACUGUUUGACAUGUCUUUAAAUCAAUGUAAAAACAGCAAAAUUUUUCAAUGUUUAUGAAAUCAACUAUCCCAUCUUUCUCCACAGACAGGGUAUGUUUUGAGGCAAUAUAGAGCAGUUAAAAUUAUAAUUAUGAAAAAUAAAUUCAAAGAUUAAAUGUCAAAUUAGCUAUGAAAGAAUAUUUAGGGUUUAUUACAAAAGUAUAAACUUUAUACUACAGCAAUAUAUUUUUGUUGGAGAUAUAAAACACAAAUUUAGUGAAUCUCAUCAUCAUCACCAUCUCAUGAACAUGUGUCCAUCGGUGACAUAUUACACUACAUAUCCAACUUUGCUGUGGAUAUCUGUAUUUUGAUUCAACAGAAAGUUAUUCAGUGUCAUUGUCAUUCAAAGCACUCUUCAGCCAUCUUCACUAAUGCAUUUCUCCUUUUCUUCUUUGUGUUCUGUCCUUUCACAACUUCCUGUUUUGGCCUUGCUCUCAAACUUUGUCUUAUCUUACAUUUUUUUGUUUCUUCAUUAAGGUGGGGAUAACAAAUGAGAGACAAUGAAUUAACCCUGUUUUUUUUUAUCUUGCCACAAUAUGUCAUUUUGAAGUCUUGUUAAAGGUUUUUGUUAAUCAAUGAUAUAAUAAAAGAUGUUAUAUAGUCAUAUGAAGUCAAAAGCUCUCUCUUCUAACAAAAAGAAUAAAAAAAAAUAAAAACCCUUGAAUUACUUACUUGCAGGCAUUUCUGAAAACACAGCAAAUUACAUCAACAUGGCUGUCAAACACAUUGUUGCCUCUAUAGGCUAAGAGUGCCAAAUAACAGCACCAAUUUCCCUCCAUCUACUUCUUUCAAGUGUGCAGAUUUAGUUGUAAUAUUUACUACUAAGUUACAGUAUUUAAUAAGCAAAAUACAUACUAUACCCCAUCUUUCCUCACUUGCCUCAUUUCAAAUAAACCAUUAUCACCUAUUUAAAAUUAGCACUUACUCUAAGUACUGAAGGAGUUGGAUCUUCCUUCAUUAACAUUGAUCCCUAUUGUAGCAAGUACUAGUGACAUUCUAAUUUACAUAUUUCUCAAGAUUUAUUAAUACAUGAAUUAAAUUAAUUAAUGACAAUUACCUUAAUGCAAUCUCCGUAGUACUGUCCACAAAGCCAUUGAGAUCAGUUCCUCCUCCACCCAAACCUGCAAGCAUGAAGCCAGAAGCCAGUCUGCCCGAAGAAGAACUCUAUACGGAUACUGCGGCUCCAAGUGAAGAAAGGACAAGACCUGUGUCGAUGAUACCUGAAUACACAGAAGAAGAGGAGCUUGGAAGUGGAAGAGAGAGUUUCGAUCUAGAUGAACUGUAUGCUGAUGGAGAGGCAGAAACACCGCUACUACCACCCUAUCCGCCACCCAUAAAACCAAGCAAGCCACCACCUGCCAUUCCGGAUGCAUCUCCAGAUGAAGAACUCUAUCAAGAUGCAAUAGAACCCGAUCAAGAAGAAUUUUAUGAAGUGAUGCCUGCAGAUCUGAACCAAGAUGAACAAGAAACUCCACUGUACACGAAUAGAAAAGAUCAAGACAAAUUACGAAGGAAUGAAGAAAAGAGGCGAAGAAGAGAGCAGAAAGAACAAGAGAAAAGGGAAAAAGAACUAGCCAAAUUAAAAAAGAAAUUUGGGCUAACAGGAGAAGAAAUUCCGAUUGAUUCAGGCCUGGUAAAAGCAGAUAGCCAUGGAGGACUGUUUCAACUUUCGGUGAGAAAGGGUGAAAUUGUGCUGAUUUUGAGGAUGGAAAACAAUCCUUCUGGAAAGUGGCUGGUCAAAAAUGAAAGGGGGAAAAUUGGUUACGUGGAACUUACCAACAUUGAGGUAGAUGCUGAUUCAAUCAGAUCUGCUCGUCCUCCAUCACCUCCCGUCCCGGCUCUGCUAGUGGCAACGGAAAAGGCCCAGACGUGGCUGGCCAAGUUUACCGCCUGCGUAAGGUGAUGUCUGUCCAAAGAUCAUCCUUGCAGAGUAACAGCGAAGAGCUUUAUUGUGAUACUGGAAUGGAUGAAGCCAUAUACGAAGAAACUUUCUAACUUCACAAAAAACUCCGAGUUCCUUUCUAAAGUGCCUUAUUGUCAGAUGCCCUUUACGCAUUGUCCCAGCUCUCUGUGUUUAUAUACUGAACUCCGAAUGAAUUAUUAUUUUAUCUUUAUAUAAUUAUUAUCAGAAGAUUAUAUUAUAUAUAUACCUGUAAGCAUAAUAACCUUUUUAUAUUUCUACAUAAAUAUUUCUGUUGGUUAUACCAAUAUUGUAUU